rnacentral:rRNA from 1 species
GGCCAGACUCCUACGGGAGGCAGCAGUGGGGAAUAUUGCACAGUGGGGGAAACCCUGAUGCAGCGACGCCGCGUGAGCGAUGAAGUAUUUCGGUAUGUAAAGCUCUAUCAGCAGGGAAGAAAAUGACGGUACCUGACUAAGAAGCCCCGGCUAACUACGUGCCAGCAGCCGCGGUAAUACGUAGGGGGCAAGCGUUAUCCGGAUUUACUGGGUGUAAAGGGAGCGUAGACGGUCCUGCAAGCCAGAUGUGAAAGCCCGGGGCUCAACCCCGGGACUGCAUUUGGAACUGUAAGGCUAGAGUGUCGGAGAGGCAGGCGGAAUUCCUAGUGUAGCGGUGAAAUGCGUAGAUAUUAGGAGGAACACCAGUGGCGAAGGCGGCCUGCUGGACGAUGACUGACGUUGAGGCUCGAAAGCGUGGGGAGCAAACAGGAUUAGAUACCCUAGUA